GGCCUCUGAAUCUCUCUGUCUCUCACAAUGUUUGCUGACUUCUCAGGGGGAAGCCAGCUGCCAUGUCAGAAGGACACUCAGGUAGCCCAAUGGAGAGACCCAUGUGAUGAGGAGUUGAAGCCUCCAGCCAACAGUCAUAUCAGCAAAUCCCAGAAGACUCGCUAUAAAUCUCUCGGCUUCCAUCCCGUAAUGACUUGGGCAGAAACAUUCUGAAUUAAACGAUGCUGUGACGUGAUUUAUGUACAUCUGGACUUUCAACCCAAUGGCUUCCCAGCACUCUAUCAAUCUUUAUAAAGUCCUGGCAAUAUACUUGAAAAGAAUUGCAAUGCAGUGAGUUAAAAGCGAGGCCUGGAUUUUUGCCAAUGUGACAAGAUAAGAAGCUGUGUGACCUGGCCCAUGCUGUGAAGCUGGUGCCGGAGAAAUGAUUGCACUUUGGGCUCAGAAGCCCCCUGAGCUCUGCUGCUUGCCCUCUCCAGUCAGCUGCCACAGCUUGAAAUGACUACUGCCGGGAAAGGUAUGAAGAAUUCAGCUUAUGGUGUCACUGUUACCAUCCGACUCGACUCUUGUUUUCUACUAAGCAGCUUUGUUCUACAGCAGCUUUACGUUUCAGUCACCCAUGGUCAACCAUGAGCCAGAAGCAGACGAUCCUCUUGUCAAUGGUAUAAUGCUUUCACAAUGUCAGCAUCAUUUGCCUUAUUUCAAUUCAUCACAUAGGCAUUUUAUUGUCAAAUAUCACAAAAAGAGGGUGUGAGGCUUCUAGACAAAUUUAUAGGAACUUCCAUUCUUGCAUCUGAAAAUAUUUAGACUUCAUGUUAAGCUGCAUUUCUGCUCAAGCAAGAUUCAGCAAGAUAAAAUGAUAAAAUGAUCAAGAAAAAGCUCCACCCAUUAUACUGCACUUGACUUCAUCAAAAGCCACAGCUGCCUCUGAUGGAGAGUGGCCUGGGUAUGGUCUAAAUGAGGCCCAAGUGUGAAUGGUAAAGCCCAUGAUUACGAAAGUCUUCAGGCUUUUGCAGAGCUCGGCCAAAGUGAAUGUCACAGGCAAAGGAAAAGUGAUCUUUUACCAGAGUGGGCCUCAGUCUAUGACAGGAUCAUGCUACCUGAUUUGGGCCAAUGGAAUGUUUCCAUCCAGGAUUUUGAAAAAAUCCAGACCAUUUGCCAUGGCAGCUGUGGGACUGAGAGCUGGAAGUUCAAUGAGAGGAGCUCAGAACAUCCACUAGAAGCUUAGAUACGACCAGGUAAUGGUAAGACCUUCUCCAGAUGCCAAGAUGGUGCUACCCUCAGAGAAUUCAGAAUGUACCAGGAAAGCUAACCUUUCCAUAGGGUCUAGAAGGAGGAGUGUAGCUAAUCAUUUACUAAUAGUGGAUGGAAGACCAGGGAGAAACUAUUGUGGAGAAGAGAGACCCUGGCAGUGGAUGGUCCAGAGGGGUGAAAUGUGGAGGGGACCAGCAAAAAAGUAUGAACAAAAUAUACAACCUAAUGUCCACCUCAGAUGGAUCCUGGAGCUGAUUAGCAGCAGUGAGAGACUGGAGUGGCUAAAGUGCCAACUGCCAUGGAAGACAGAUAACUUUGGGAAUAGAAGCCAUGCCUAACAGAGCAGCAAGAUAGCAAUCGCUCGAAUCUCUCACUUUAACCCUGGGUUGACAGACUUCUUGAAUCAGACAUCUUGAA